GACCGCGUAGCUCAGUUGGCAGAGCAUUGCCAUUUGGGCCAGUAUUCCAAAGGUCGUAGGUUCGAUUCCCACCGUGGACA